rnacentral:lncRNA from 1 species
UCUUUUUUGUGUCUUCCAGCAAACUGCCUGGAAGAGGAAAAGAAAGGUGGGCCUUUUAGUGUGACAGCUGACACAGUGUGAUGUUCUCGCUGCAGAGUGACUGUCUCCCUUGGACUGGCCAUCAGGCCUCAUCUGAAGGGAUUCUCCUGUCUUUAGUCAUGUCCACAGAGCAGUUUUUCUUGGAGGCUUCACUGUGGUCUUGGAGGUCUUCAAUGUGCUAGGAAAGAGAAGAUUUUCGUCUGACUGCUUUAUUAACAUGGGUCUGAAACCAUUCCUGAACAAAAAGCAAGCAGGCCAUGCCACAACUAAGACCAGCAUACUGAGUUUCCUGGGGUGGAAAAAUCAUGGACAAAUCAGGUGUUGAAAUGAAAGCUGAAUCCGUACCUUAACUGAAACCUUUGCAAAUAAUACAACGAACACAAAGGAGAGAACAAUUUAGAUUUUUGUAAAGAUUUUUUGUACUUAUUUUUUGUGUGGUAUAUUUGAUUUCUCAGAUUUUUUUUUCUUUUUACUCCUGAAAAACAUGGUUGUACUUGCCUAAACAAACUAGUUAGACUUGAGAAAAUAUUCAGAGUAAAAUUUAAAUUUAGUUGAAACUUGCUUGGCUUCAGGUUUCUUUACAGUCUCUAAGCUCAGCCCUGGUUCACUGGGAGGUUUGUGAAAGACCAUGAACUUUUACAGGGAACAUGGAUUGAUUUAUGAGUCUGCCUGAAAAUCCAUGUGAAAUUUGCCUUUCGCAUGACCACGAUGCAAAAAUAUCUUCUUUCCCCCUCAACCCCUUCCUGCGGUACUGGAUAAACUCUGAUGUGUUUUAUCUCCUGUUUCUGCACUGAGUCUUCCCAGCACAGGCAACAUCUUGCUCGUUUCUUUAUAAA